rnacentral:lncRNA from 1 species
GGAAAAGACAACAAAUCUCAAAAGGGUGGUGGUGGUGGGAAUAAGGAACAACCUAAGGGAGGUGGGGGUGCACAACAGUUUCUUCAGAUGAUGCAAAACCUCAAAGGCUCAAAAGAUAAUUUUAAGAUGCCUAAUAUGCCUAAUGCAAAGGACCAAAAAUCUGUGAAGUUUAAUUUGCCGGAGGAUGAUUUUGAUGAUGAGUUUGAUGAUGAUUUUGAUGAUGAUGAAGAUGAGUUUGACGAUUAUUCUGAUGAUGAUUUUGAUGGCCGCCCAGCGGGCAAAAUGAUGCCAGCUAUGCGGACAACUUCAAAGGUGGAAAAGACAACAAAUCUCAAAAGGGCGGCAGCGGCGGCGGGAAUAAGGAACAGCCAAAGGGGGGUGGGGGUGCACAACAGUUUCUUCAGAUGAUGCAAAACCUCAAAGGCUCAAAAGAUAAUUUCAAGAUGCCUAAUGCAAAGGACCAGAAAUCUGUGAAGUUCAAUUUGCCUGAGGAUGAUUUUGAUGAUGAGUUUGAUGAUGAUUUUGACGAUGAUGAAGAUGAGUUUGAUGAUGAUUCUGAUGAUGG